AAGCACUCCCUUCGCCACGUCAGCUAUCCCCUUUUGGUAACGAUGGUCAAGGUUCAGAUUAGACCAGGACGAUAGGGAUUUGGAAGUUGAGGUUCAAACCGCCGAACCACUACAAAUUCAAGGUUUAAAAUGGUCUUUUUCCUAUUUAUUAGGCACCCAACAUAGUGAGACCGCUAACAACAUGCUGAAGACGUACGUCCCGCCAUCAUGCCCGAUGCACAUGUUUGUGAGGCAUUACAUGAAGAUGAAAUUCGACAGAGAUUCAGCCGAGUGUGUUGAGGAGAAGAAGACACAUCUCGCACGUCCUCUGCUUCGGUUUAAUAGAGCGUUUCGAAAGGCAUGCGAGCAGAAUCUAUACAAGGGCAAUGUUUGAGAAGUUUGGGGACAUCCUGUAUGAGGCAGGGUACUAUGAAGUGGAGCAGAGUGCGGUUCAAAAUAAUUGUGACGAAAAACAGGGAAGAAUUUGAUUGUGAGUGUGGACAGUUUCAGCACAUGGGGCUGCUGUGCACCCAUAUCCCGAAGAUCAUGGGUCAUUUGGAUGUGAAGGAAAUACCGGAGCGGCACCUAUUGAAAAGAUGGACGAGAGAUGCAAGGGACAUACUCUGGGAUCACCCGGCACAUUACCAGCGUGACCAA